UGAAACGAGCCGUUUCAGAUUUCCAUGGACUUGUUACGUCACAACAAUAUCCGGUCCGUGACGCAAGUCAGAGCUGGGAGCUUGUUCAGCCCUCAACUCCGCCUCCAAGUUCACUUUCUCUGCAGACUUCUACAGUCCAUGCUGCAGUCAAGUUUGUUUUACAAAGAUGUCGAACAAACGUGCUAAUCUAAGUUGCUCAGUUGUUGGCUGCUUAAAAAGACAUACAUGUAUGUUUUUACUCCCCAAGUCUGAAGAUGUGAAGACCCGGUGGAUGGAUUUUAUUUUUGAUGGAAAAGUGCCCACAACAACAGCUAAAAUGCUGUAUGUGUGAGCUAACCACUUCACCUCAGACUGCUUUUCUAACAAGGGACAGUACAAUGCAGGCUUUGCAGAAAAACUGCAGAUGAAACAUGGAUCAAUUCCGACUGUCCGUGACCCACAUUCAAACUCCGGAGCUGCCAGCACAUCAGAUGUAACUGUGGAGUUUCAUGCAACAAGGGAUGUUGCAUGUCAGACUGACCAGCUGCAGACACAUAGUGUAGGCACACAGCUGUCCCUGAAGACUCUUCAGCCUCAUGUCAGAAGUAAAGUUGUUCAUGCUGCUGUGUCCUGUAGGGAUUUUGGUGUUGGAGCAUCCAUUGCUACCUCUGCAGAUCCUCUGUGUUUCUCAUCAACACCAGUAAAGAGACCAUCAAAGAGAGCUCGUUUGGACCUCGUGGAGGAGGGGGAGGAGGAUCCGUUAGAGCAGCCAUUCUCAACCCUGGGGUCCCGACCCCAAUGGGGGUCGCGAGAUGAUUUCUGGGGGUCGCCAAAUAAUUUUCGAAAAAUAUAUCUAAUAUUAUAUUACAGAAUUUCAGUCAGGGAGCUGUUCUAGUUGCUUUGUGCUUCAUUACUUUUUCAAAAUGCAUUGUAUCAACUAAAUUUGUAUGAAUUGACCUGUGCGCGUGAGAUCAUGCUCCGUGACCCACGGCGGGAAAAAAGACAAAGAAAAACAAACCAUUAACCUCGCGCUACAUUUUGCAACAAGUUUGCUAGCUUUCUGAUGCUGUAAAAUGGAGCGAUGGCUUAAGAGAAAAAGUGUUCCAGCUCGAGACUUGGGUCAGCAGCAGGGGUCUCAGAGUCAGUCACCAGACAGUCUGACAGCAGGACCACCCCCUGAGAAACGGAAGGCACUGGGGCCGACACCGGCUGACUCCAGAGCUUCGAGGCUCCGUAAAUAUCAGCCCGACUUUCUUAAAUUUGGAUUUUCGUACAUGACUAAAAACAACGCAGAAUACCCACAAUGUGUCAUUUGCUCUGAAGUGCUGGCAAACGAGAGCUUGAAACCAGUAAAACUUAAGAGACAUUCUGAGACAAAACACAGCGGCUUCAUUGACAAGCC